UACGUAGGGGGGCAAGCGUUGUCCGGAUUUAUUGGGCGUAAAGAGCGUGUAGGCGGCCAUGCAGGUCCGUUGUGAAAACUCGAGGCUCAACCUCGAGACGCCGAUGGAAACCGUUUGGCUAGAGUCCGGAAGAGGAGAGUGGAAUUCCUGGUGUAGCGGUGAAAUGCGCAGAUAUCAGGAAGAACACCCGUGGCGAAGGCGGCUCUCUGGGACGGUACUGACGCUGAGACGCGAAAGUGUGGGGAGCGAACAGG
rnacentral:rRNA from 1 species